GCAGGAUUCAAAACUGCCUCACGUGACUGCUACCGAGGUGCAUCAUGGGGAAUUGGCGGUUAACGACAUGCUCACUUUACUUGGACGUUUUCUAAUCGUCUUCUUUGGAAUAUGCUUUCAAGGUCUGUGAAGCCAAACUUGAUGCUGGGGAUAUAUUUUUGUCAGUGGAGUCAAAUGGUUGAAGCAGAAUUUGCCCGUCUUACAUCUGUUGACCUGAAAGGGUUCCUUUUGCUGUGCUUGACCAUUAUGGAGAGGUUCGUGGAGCUGUACAAAAUCAAGAGCGGCAUAGGAGGGCUGACUAGGCUCAUAAAAUGCUUCAAUGAUGAUAGCCCUACACAAAGGAAGAGAGAGAGGACCUCACCUUCCUUUUCUAAAGGAAGAUCCCUCACACACUUUCAAGACUGUGAAGCCGACAGGUAUUGAAGACACGUUUUCUAAGAGGAUGAAAGUUGGCAUUGCGAUGGUGAAAGAAGAAGACAUCAUCGAUGUGUUGGUUGUCCUUGAGGCGGCAGUAAUCCUGUCUAAUCUGAGGGAUGUCUCAAGUGCCAUUUCCAUGCUGAUGGGCCUUCUUUUUGCCCUCAACAUAGACUAUCCAAAGGAACUUAAGGACAUCUUUGAAGUCAUUCAGAACAUCCUAAUGAACAUUGGUGGAAGGCAGUGCAUCUCACUAGUGCAUGGUCUAAGAAACAGACUCUUGCAGAAAGCCAUGCAGAACUGUAAUUGUAUGCUCACAGCAUACAAUUGCCUUGGUGUUAAGGACAG
ensembl:lncRNA